rnacentral:rRNA from 1 species
UACGUAGGGUGCAAGCGUUGUUCGGAUUCACUGGGCGUAAAGGGUGCGUAGGUGGCAUGGUAAGUUUGAUGUGAAAGCUCAGGGCUCAACCCUGAAAUGGCAUUGAAUACUACUGUGCUGGAGGUUUGGAGGGGGGACUGGAAUUCUUGGUGUAGCAGUGAAAUGCGUAGAUAUCAAGAGGAACACCAGUGGCGAAGGCGAGUCCCUGGACAACACCUGACACUGAGGCACGAAAGCUAGGGGAGCAAACAGG